rnacentral:rRNA from 1 species
GGCGAUCAGAUACCGCCCUAGUUCUGACCGUAAACGAUGCCAACUCGCGAUCCGCCGGCGGAGCAUUUCGCCCUGGCGGGGAGCGUCCCGGAAACGAAAGUCUUCCGGUUCCGGGGGAAGUAUGGUUGCAAAGCUGAAACUUAAAGGAAUUGACGGAAGGGCACCACCAGGAGUGGAGCCUGCGGCUUAAUUUGACUCAACGCGAGGAACCUCACCCGGCCCGGACACCGUAAGGAUUGACCGAUCGACAGCUCAUUCAUGAUUCGGUGGUUGGUGGUGCAUGGCCGUUCUUAGUUCGUGGAUUUGAUCUGUCUGCUUUAUUGCGAUAACCGAGCGAGACCCACGCCUGCUAACUAGUCAGUGCAUUGCCAUUGUGCGCGCCGACUUCUUAGAGGGAUUCGCGGUGUUCAGCCGUUUGAAAGUGGGCAAUAACAGGUCUGUGAUGCCCUUAGAUGUCCGGGGCUGCACGCGGGCUACACUGGCAAAACCAGCGUGCUUGUCCUGCCUCGAAGGAGGUGGGUAAACCCGGCAAAAUUUGCCGUGAUUGGGAUCGGAGAUUGCAAUUAUUUUCCGUGAACGAGGAAUUCCAAGUAAGUGCGAGUCAUCAGCUCGCGUUGAUUACGUCCCUGCCCUUUGUA